GGGAAUCCGCCCUUAGGUUCGGAAUAACAGUUAGAAAUGACUGCUAAUACCGGAUGAUGACGUAAGUCCAAAGAUUUAUCGCCUAGGGAUGAGCCCGCGUAGGAUUAGCUAGUUGGUGUGGUAAAGGCGCACCAAGGCGACGAUCCUUAGCUGGUCUGAGAGGAUGAUCAGCCACACUGGGACUGAGACACGGCCCAGACUCCUACGGGAGGCAGCAGUGGGGAAUAUUGGACAAUGGGCGCAAGCCUGAUCCAGCAAUGCCGCGUGAGUGAUGAAGGCCUUAGGGUUGUAAAGCUCUUUUACCCGGGAUGAUAAUGACAGUACCGGGAGAAUAAGCCCCGGCUAACUCCGUGCCAGCAGCCGCGGUAAUACGGAGGGGGCUAGCGUUGUUCGGAAUUACUGGGCGUAAAGCGCACGUAGGCGGCUUUGUAAGUUAGAGGUGAAAGCCUGGAGCUCAACUCCAGAACUGCCUUUAAGACUGCAUCGCUUGAAUCCAGGAGAGGUGAGUGGAAUUCCGAGU
rnacentral:rRNA from 1 species